rnacentral:rRNA from 1 species
UACGUAGGGUCCGAGCGUUGUCCGGAAUUAUUGGGCGUAAAGAGCUCGUAGGCGGUAUGUCGCGUCUGCUGUGAAAGACCGGGGCUUAACUUCGGUUUUGCAGUGGAUACGGGCAUGCUGGAGGUAGGUAGGGGAGACUGGAAUUCCUGGUGUAGCGGUGAAAUGCGCAGAUAUCAGGAGGAACACCGGUGGCGAAGGCGGGUCUCUGGGCCUUACCUGACGCUGAGGAGCGAAAGCAUGGGUAGCCAACAGG